CUCCUGAUUUUGCUGUCUCUUCUGCAAUUUACAGAAAAUGUUUCAUUACUUCAAAAUUCUGCAUUUUGUUGAGGAACAAAGAAACACAAAAAUCUGCAAAAUGUUUCCUAAGACAGAGUACUUGGCAUAUCAUAUGGAAUAUGAGAUACUUCAAUAACAAAGUCAAUCAACUCUGGCGAAAUGCUUUCAUUUCAAGGAGGCUGUGACCAAACAUAAACGAGAAAGAUCUUCAAAAGUAUUACCUUCAUCAUCACUGUCUUCAAACU